GGGGUUGUGGUUCAGUGGUAGAGCACUUGCCUAGCAUAUAAGAGAUACUGGGUUCGAUUCUCAGCACCACA
rnacentral:tRNA from 1 species